GCACUUUUAUUUCUAAUCCUCUCAGCAUAUAUUUAGCGGGCCGGAUUCGUCCGGCUAUGGCGAUAAACGCGAUCGUAAUAAGCCGUUCGGACCCGGGGGCAGUACCCGGCGCCUCCACCACCAGCUCAUUUCCGGCGCACGUCGGUAAAGGCAGCGAGUGAGCUGAUGAUGGGGGCGAACUAGGAUCGACGAGGGUGUAAAGGAUUUAGCUUUUGCUCGGCAUGAUACCGCCGUCAUCGGGUCAUUCAGAAUAGUUGCCAAUGACAACUAUGCUGAGGCUGCUCUCGCUGCGUAAUGCGGCGCGAAAUGCCUAACUACUAAAGUCCUCGCUCCUAGCCGAGCAAGGCGCGGUCGGGGAGGCACCGGGCAACAGAAGCCUCCCACU
rnacentral:tmRNA from 1 species